CCUCCUUGUUGUUUUUUUUCUUUCCCUGUGUCUCUUUUAGUACCUGUAUUUCUUUGGCAUGUUAUUCAGAUUCUUUUGCAGGACCCUGCUCUGCGUGGUCAUUCAGCUGCAUUAGAGAUGUGGGAGGGGGGAGGAGGCCAGGGAAGGAGGAGGGAGUGACACAGAGCGGGGAGCGAAAUUUGAGAUUUUGAAUGGGAGGGGGGAGCGAGACUUGCGAUAGUGGACAGGAGGGGGAGCCGAGAUUUGAGAUAAUGGAUGGGAGGAGGGAGCGAACAUGGAGAGGAGUCGCGUGAGUAAGGGAGCAACGCCGGCAGGGAGGCAACUGAGAGGAAGACGUGAGACGUGACAGGAAGGAAAAAGAAGCAGUUACAUUUUUGCUAAUUAAGGUGAAUUGCCCUUUAAGCUGUGAGUCUAACUUUUCCCAAGGAUUGGGUAAAGCGUGUCAUUAACUGAAGGACAAGGAAAGGCCAAGUUUUUCCCUGCGGCUGGUGUCCCUAGGUGUCCCUUGGCAUUUAUACGUAUAGAAUAAAUAAGCACAUGCAAGUCUGUGUCUCUGCCAAGGAUGCCUGAGAAAGUAUCUCAAACCCAGAACAGACACCACGGUUCCUGACAGGGCUCACUCUUCUGCCGAUAACAGUCGCCUUUCAUGUCAGGAGGAGCCCUUCUCUACUCGGAUACCGCCAAGUCUUAAAGUGAGAGAACCAAGAAGGAAUGGGCGAAUUUUUUGCCUUGUUUCGGCGAAAAAAUGACGCCCAUAGACUUGUAUGGGCGUCGGCAAAUUUUUGGCAAAACGAAACCGGUCAAAACCAAGGCGAGAGUUCUGGGCAGGCAAGAGAACCAGAUCGUGUGACAGGAGGAACAGGCAAAGAGGAAAUGUAGUCAUGGAACAAGCCGGGAUCAAUAACCAAAUAGUCGGCGCAGUACAGAAUCAGGGUACAGAAAGGUAGUCAGUAAACAGGCAAUGGUCGUUCAGGCAGUAAACAGCAAAGGUCAAGGACAGGCAAGGGUCAAAACCAGUAAAUCAGAUUAAGAGCAUACCCAGGAACUAUCUCAGAAUAGACCUACAUUGGACAAGGAGUCAGUGCAGAGCAGGGGGUUAGGGCUCUUACACAUGAGCGU